AAUCAGUAAUAGUUUUAAAUGGACAAACCACAAAACCCCCCACCAAACCCAUCUCCAUUGCGAAGUGCCCAAGUUUUCCAGGUAUAUUAGAGAGAGAGCUUGAGAAUAGUAAGCAUUAUAUCUUUCACAUUCAGAGAGGUGGUAGCUGAUGUAGAAUACAAGGGAAUUAAACAACGGAGGGGUACCUUAGUCCUGAAGGCUGGAAGGUUAUGUCUUUAUUGGAGAAUAUUCAUCACAAUCUAGAAUUCUUUAGCAACCCUCAAAAGUUAAAUCUAUCAAGAUUCGAGGUAUGGUCAAGAUUAGUAUUGAGAUUUUCCUCUAUGUAGUUUUUUUUUCCCUAAAUUUUUUUCUUGGUGCCAAAGCCCUAUACAUUUAUGCCAUUUAGCAGUGGGGUACACGACUGUCCGGGGGAGUGAGCUUGCAAAGCUGGAGACGCACAUUCUGAUUCUACAUCCCCUUGCGAUGUUCAAAGACUAAAUUCUGUCUCUGAUCAGUUUUGUUCUUUGAUGAAUGCAAUUCUAUUUCGUUUCUUCUUGUUCAUACUUUAUGGGAAUAGAUUUUACUUGCACGAAACGGGGCAGAGCCGGGAGCGGGAGCGGGGAGAGGGAGCAAUAGAAGUUUCUUAAGUUGGGAGCGCCUCGGGAAGCGUUUAUAUAUACAUAUAUAUAUAUAUAUGUGUAUAUUAUGUAUAUAUAAAUAAAAAUUAAUUCAAAAAUUCAUUUAUAUUAAAUAUCAUUAAUUCUGUGCACUAUAUUAUGGAGUGGCUUACAUUGUGCACUAUAUUAUGUAUUUAUUUUUUGGAGUGGCUUAUUUUUUGGGGUGGCUUGACAACUAAAAGAGAUCUGUAAAGAGAUCUCUAAUUCUCAUCAUUAAUUCUGUGCACUAUAUCCUUGGUCCAAUUAUGCACU